rfam:Geothermobacter sp. EPR-M contig_40, whole genome shotgun sequence.
GGCUCUCUGCCUUGCAGGUGAGGUCGCAAAGCCCCGGCGGUAUAGUUGUAGAACGGGACUGUUUCAACGACAUGGUGUGCCAGCCCGCCACGUAGCGGGACGCCUGAAGUGCCGGUAAACGGUCCCACUUAUUCGGGAGUCGCCUGAGGCCCCGAGACCCACGGCAGCGGUGGAGAGUCU